rnacentral:lncRNA from 1 species
GGCCGCGCGCACGUGAGCGCGCCGCUCCGCCUGUCUAAAUUUAGCUGUGAGGUGUCAGGGUCGUGCGAGGUGAGGCGGCGGGGUCGCAACGGGCUCGGGUGGGGUCCUCACGUGACCCCGUGAGGCGGCAUGCUCAGGUGGGGGUUCCCCUCAGAACUGGGGGGCCAGAGUCACGUGAGGUGAGGCGGGUCGUGAUGGGUUGGGGUAGGGGUCCCCUCGCGACGAGGAUGGGGUUGCAUGAGGUGAGGCGGCAAGCCCUGGCGUGGGUCCUCUUGGUGAGCGGGGUCUUCAGGUCACAUGAAGUGACUGUCUCCACAGCUCGGACACGGGACCCCUCAGGAGUGGGUCGCCAGGUUUCUCUGAGGUGAGGCGUUGUGUGGGGUGUCCUCUCCGGGUCACAUAGGUGCACCCGUGGGGUCAGCCGGCAGAGCCCGGGGCAGCCGAGCCCGACUGUGUGGACAGCCCUUGCACUGCAGGUCCAGAGCGAUGUCCGUCAGAGAGGUGUGGCAUCUGGGUCUGUGGGCCACACCUCUUUCAACCGAAGCAAGUUCUAGAAAGUUCCCUGGUGGGUGAAACUUAUCAGAGUUCAAGUUUAGGUAGUGUUGGAUUGUAAUGGAAACUUGUGAAGAGCGAGAGUAAAUGUGGUGGCUGACCCUGCGACCAGCUGAGGAGACCCUGGCCCGGGGUCUUGCUAAGGGGCUUCCGAUCUCUGUAUCUUCCCUGCUGAACUCAACGAUGGUUUCCUGCAUGUCUGUGAGGAGUGGAGGAGAACAUGUCUGACAUCCAGAGUAACCGGGUCAAGGAGGUGUGGUUAGAUUGCAAGGGAAGACAUAACUGCUGCAUCUGCUUGCAUCAGCUACACUUUGAAGACAGGGGGUGCACUGACCCCCCCCUCCUCUCUCCCAUCUCACAUGAGGAUGACCAGAGAGGGUUGGUGUUCGAGAUUUGCCAUAAUGUGUGGGAUCAGGAACCAGAUAAAAGUUUAGUGUUGAAGAAAUGAAUGCCAAGCACCUUGUAAAAUUGGCACCGCAGCCCUGUCAUCAGAAAGUGAGCUGUUCUUUUGACACACAGAGUUGUUUGCCAUGUCACAGUGACCUGCAUUCUGUUAGUGAGGGAGCCUCAGGUUUCACAUGGAUUGUCUCAGUAUAAGCUGUAAAAUGAUAGCCUUUGGCCUUUAUGGUAUUGGGAAACUUGAAGUGUUUAAUGAUAAAAGUGGUUUCUAAUGGUUGAGUGCUUCAGUUUCUUCUUUCCAACCCCCUACCCCCACUUUUUAAAAGAAAGGUUAAUCGUGGAGAAUGUGACAAGAAUGAGAGAAUCUGGUGUGUUCUUUCAUUUGCUUUCCAAAAAUAAAUACAACCCUUGUGAGUUCAUAUGCAAACAUGGAUGUGCAAACAUUUUAGAGCUUUAGUCCCUGUAAUUAGCCACCUCUAACCAGUUUAAAGGACCUGAAGGUUGGGCUGGAGAGAUGGCUUAGCAGUUAAGAGCACUGGCUGCUCUUCCAGAGGACCACAUGGCAACUCACAACUGUCUGUAACCCCUGUUCCAGGGGACCAACUCCCUCAUACAUGCAGGCAAAACACAAUGUACAUAAAAUAAAAAUAUUAGAAAAGACUUGAAGGUUAAAAUCCAGUAUUGGCAUUUUAUAUAGCAAUAGCUGGCUCUUGACCAGUGUUUCAACCU